UACGUAGGGUGCGAGCGUUAAUCGGAAUUACUGGGCGUAAAGGGCGCGCAGGCGGCGUCGCAAGUCAGGCGUGAAAUCCCCGGGCUUAACCUGGGAACUGCACUUGAAACUACGAUGCUGGAGUAUGGCAGAGGGAGGUGGAAUUCCACGUGUAGCGGUGAAAUGCGUAGAGAUGUGGAGGAACACCGAUGGCGAAGGCAGCCUCCUGGGCCAAUACUGACGCUCAUGCACGAAAGCGUGGGGAGCAAACAGG
rnacentral:rRNA from 1 species